rnacentral:tRNA from 1 species
GGUUUUAUAAUUUAAUUAAAAUAUUAAAUUGCAAAUUUAAAAAUACACAUUGUUGUUAAAACUU